rnacentral:rRNA from 1 species
GACGUAGGGGGCCAGCGUUGCUCGGAAUUACUGGGCGUAAAGGGUUCGUAGGCGGUGCGGCAAGUCGGGAGUGAAAUCUCUGGGCUUAACUCAGGGGCUGCUUCCGAAACUGCCGUGCUUGAGUGCGGGAGAGGCGAGUGGAAUUGCAGGUGUAGCGGUGAAAUGCGUAGAUAUCAGGAGGAACACCGGUGGCGAAGGCGGUUCUCUGGGCCUAAUCUGACGCUGAGGAGCGAAAGCGUGGGGAGCAAACAGG